UACGUAGGGGGGCAAGCGUUGUCCGGAAUCAUUGGGCGUAAAGAGCGUGUAGGCGGCCCGAUAAGUCCGCUGUGAAAGUCCAGGGCUCAACCCUGGGAUGCCGGUCGAUACUGCCGGACUAGAGUUCGGAAGAGGCGAGUGGAAUUCCCGGUGUAGCGGUGAAAUGCGCAGAUAUCGGGAGGAACACCUAUGGCGAAGGCAGCUCGCUGGGACGUUACUGACGCUGAGACGCGAAAGCGUGGGGAGCAAACAGG
rnacentral:rRNA from 1 species